UGAUCCUGGCUCAGAACGAACGCUGGCGGCAGGCCUAACACAUGCAAGUCGAACGCCGUAGCAAUACGGAGUGGCAGACGGGUGAGUAACGCGUGGGAACGUACCCUUUGGUUCGGAAUAACUCAGGGAAACUUGGGCUAAUACCGGAUACGUCCGAGAGGAGAAAGAUUUAUCGCCGAAGGAUCGGCCCGCGUCUGAUUAGCUAGUUGGUGUGGUAAUGGCGCACCAAGGCGACGAUCAGUAGCUGGUCUGAGAGGAUGAUCAGCCACAUUGGGACUGAGACACGGCCCAAACUCCUACGGGAGGCAGCAGUGGGGAAUAUUGGACAAUGGGCGCAAGCCUGAUCCAGCCAUGCCGCGUGAGUGAUGACGGCCUUAGGGUUGUAAAGCUCUUUUACCUGGGAAGAUAAUGACGGUACCAGGAGAAUAAGCCCCGGCUAACUUCGUGCCAGCAGCCGCGGUAAUACGAAGGGGGCUAGCGUUGUUCGGAUUUACUGGGCGUAAAGCGCACGUAGGCGGAUUUUUAAGUCAGGGGUGAAAUCCCAAGGCUCAACCUUGGAACUGCCUUUGAUACUGGAGAUCUUGAGUCCGGGAGAGGUGAGUGGAACUGCGAGUGUAGAGGUGAAUUCGUAGAUAUUCGCAAGAACACCAGUGGCGAAGGCGGCUCACUGGCCCGGAACUGACGCUGAGUGCGAAAGCGUGGGGAGCAAACAGGAUGAUACCCUGGUAGUCACGCCGUAACGAUGGAUGCUAGCCGUUAGGCAGCUUGCUGCUUAGCUCGCAGUAACGCUUAGCAUCCCCCCUGGGAGUACGGUCGCAAGAUUAAACUCAAAGGAAUGACGGGGCCCGCACAAGCGGUGGAGCAUGUGGUUAUUCGAAGCAACGCGCAGAACCUACCAACCUUUGACAUGUCUCGUUUGGUUACCAGAGAUGGUUUCCUUCAGUUUGGCUGGCGAGAACACAGGUGCUGCAUGGCUGUCGUCAGCUCGUGUCGUGAGAUGUUGGGUUAAGUCCCGCAACGAGCGCAACCCACGCCCUUAGUUGCCAUCAUUUAGUUGGGCACUCUAGGGGGACUGCCGGUGAUAAGCCGAGAGGAAGGUGUGGAUGACGUCAAGUCCUCAUGGCCCUUACGGGUUGGGCUACACACGUGCUACAAUGGCGGUGACAAUGGGAUGCGAAGGGGCGACCCUUAGCAAAUCUCCAAAAUCCGUCUCAGUUCGGAUUGCACUCUGCAACUCGAGUGCAUGAAGGUGGAAUCGCUAGUAAUCGUAGAUCAGAACGCUACGGUGAAUACGUUCCCGGGCCUUGUACACACCGCCCGUCACACCAUGGGAGUUGGUUCUACCCGAAGGCGUUUUGCUAACCGCAAGGGGGCAGGCGACCACGGUAGGGUCAGCGACUGGGG
rnacentral:rRNA from 1 species